GACGAACGCUGGCGGCGUGCUUAACACAUGCAAGUCGAACGGAAAGGCCCUGCUUUUGUGGGGUGCUCGAGUGGCGAACGGGUGAGUAACACGUGAGUAACCUGCCCUUGACUUUGGGAUAACUUCAGGAAACUGGGGCUAAUACCGGAUAGGAGCUCCUGCUGCAUGGCGGGGGUUGGAAAGGUUCGGCGGUUGGGGAUGGACUCGCGGCUUAUCAGCAUGAUGGUGGGGUAGUGGCUUACCAAGGCUUUGACGGGUAGCCGGCCUGAGAGGGUGACCGGCCACAUUGGGACUGAGAUACGGCCCAGACUCCUACGGGAGGCAGCAGUGGGGAAUAUUGCACAAUGGGCGGAAGCCGGAUGCAGCAACGCCGCGUGCGGGAUGACGGCCUUCGGGUUGUAAACCGCUUUCGCCUGUGACGAAGCGUGAGUGACGGUAAUGGGUAAAGAAGCACCGGCUAACUACGUG
rnacentral:rRNA from 1 species